rnacentral:rRNA from 1 species
CACGGGGGUUGGAGGGCAAGUCUGGUGCCAGCAGCCGCGGUAAUUCCAGCUCCAAUAGCGUAUAUUAAAGUUGUUGCAGUUAAAAAGCUCGUAGUUGAAUUUCGGGAUCAAAUUGUCGGUCGUGCCUCGGUACGUACUGGCGUUAUUGGUUCCUCCCUUCUGAAGAACCGCGAUGUCAUUAAUUUGGUGUCGCGGGAAAUCAGGACUGUUACUUUGAAAAAAUUAGAGUGUUUAAAGCAGGCUCGCGCUUGAAUACAUUAGCAUGGAAUAAUGAAAUAGGACGUUUGAUUCUAUUUUGUUGGUUUCUAGGAUCGACGUAAUGAUUAAUAGGGAUAGUUGGGGGCAUUAGUAUUCAAUUGUCAGAGGUGAAAUUCUUGGAUUUAUUGAAGACUAACUACUGCGAAAGCAUUUGCCAAGGAUGUUUUCAUUAAUCAAGAACGAAAGUUAGGGGAUCGAAGACGAUCAGAUACCGUCGUAGUCUAACCAUAAACUAUGCCGACUA